rnacentral:rRNA from 1 species
CACGGGGGGAGCAAGCGUUGUUCGGAAUCACUGGGCGUAAAGGGCGUGUAGGCGGUCAGGUUAGUGAGAUGUGAAACGCCCCGGCUCACCCGGGGACCUGCAUCUCAAACUGCCUGGCUUGAGUAUGGGAGAGGAUGAGGGAAUUCCUGGUGUAGCGGUGAAAUGCGUAGAUAUCAGGAGGAACACCGGUGGCGAAGGCGCACAUCUGGCCCGAUACUGACGCUGAGGCGCGAAAGCUAGGGGAGCAAACGGG